AUGCGAAACAACUACCACAUCAAUGUUGAGGCGUGCUCGAGCAUAAAGGCAAUCAAGUACUUGUUCAAAUACAUCUACAAAGGGCAUGAUUGGGCAUCCUUUGCAUUCAAGCAGGAUAUCAUCCAUGAUGCUGGAAUCAUCAAUGAAAUCCGAAAAUAUAGGGAUGCACGCUAUGUAUCUCUGCCAGAGGCUAUUUAUAGGAUUUUUCGGUUCAAAAUGUUUGGUGUCAGUCCAUAUGUGCUACAGCUCCAGCUUCAUUUGCCAAACAUGCAUACAGUUGUGUUUAAAGCUUCUGAAAAUCUGGAAGAUGUUGUCGCUCGACCAUCUUCUUCCAAGUCCAUGCAUACAGAGUACUUUGAGAUGAACCGAAAGUUUCCACCGGCACGGAAAUGGUUGUAUAGAGAGUUUCCAGAACAUUAUAGAUGGAUAGCUAGAAAAAAGAUGUGGCAGAACAGAAGAAAUAAGAGAGGUACUACUUGCGUGUGCUCCUAA
rnacentral:rRNA from 1 species